rnacentral:rRNA from 1 species
ACAUGCAAGUCGUACGCUUCUUUUUCCACCGGAGCUUGCUCCACCGGAAAAAGAGGAGUGGCGAACGGGUGAGUAACACGUGGGUAACCUGCCCAUCAGAAGGGGAUAACACUUGGAAACAGGUGCUAAUACCGUAUAACAAUCGAAACCGCAUGGUUUUGAUUUGAAAGGCGCUUUCGGGUGUCGCUGAUGGAUGGACCCGCGGUGCAUUAGCUAGUUGGUGAGGUAACGGCUCACCAAGGCCACGAUGCAUAGCCGACCUGAGAGGGUGAUCGGCCACAUUGGGACUGAGACACGGCCCAAACUCCUACGGGAGGCAGCAGUAGGGAAUCUUCGGCAAUGGACGAAAGUCUGACCGAGCAACGCCGCGUGAGUGAAGAAGGUUUUCGGAUCGUAAAACUCUGUUGUUAGAGAAGAACAAGGAUGAGAGUAACUGUUCAUCCCUUGACGGUAUCUAACCAGAAAGCCACGGCUAACUACGUGCCAGCAGCCGCGGUAAUACGUAGGUGGCAAGCGUUGUCCGGAUUUAUUGGGCGUAAAGCGAGCGCAGGCGGUUUCUUAAGUCUGAUGUGAAAGCCCCCGGCUCAACCGGGGAGGGUCAUUGGAAACUGGGAGACUUGAGUGCAGAAGAGGAGAGUGGAAUUCCAUGUGUAGCGGUGAAAUGCGUAGAUAUAUGGAGGAACACCAGUGGCGAAGGCGGCUCUCUGGUCUGUAACUGACGCUGAGGCUCGAAAGCGUGGGGAGCAAACAGGAUUAGAUACCCUGGUAGUCCACGCCGUAAACGAUGAGUGCUAAGUGUUGGAGGGUUUCCGCCCUUCAGUGCUGCAGCUAACGCAUUAAGCACUCCGCCUGGGGAGUACGACCGCAAGGUUGAAACUCAAAGGAAUUGACGGGGGCCCGCACAAGCGGUGGAGCAUGUGGUUUAAUUCGAAGCACGCGAGACUUACAGGUCUGACAUCUUGACCACUCUAGAAGAUAGAGCUUCCCUUCGGGGCAAAGUGACAGUG